UUCAGCCAUUCAAAACACCUGGGGUGGGAGGUACAUGCAGGCUUUCAGCCAUUCAAAACACCUGGCGUAGGAGGUACAUGCAGGCUUUCAGCCAUUCUAAACACCUGGGGUGGGAGGUACAUGCAGGCUUUCAGCCAUUCAAAACACCUGGGGUGGGAGGUACAUGCAGGCUUUCAGCCAUUCUAAACACCUGGCGUAGGAGGUACAUGCAGGCUUUCAGCCAUUCUAAACACCUGGGGUGGGAGGUACAUGCAGGCUUUCAGCCAUUCAGAACACCUGGCGUAGGAGGUACAUGCAGGCUUUCAGCCAUUCAAAACACCUGGCGUAGGAGGUACAUGCAGGCUUUCAGCCAUUCUAAACACCUGGGGUGGGAGGUACAUGCAGGCUUUCAGCCAUUCAGAACACCUGGGGUGGGAGGUACAUGCAGGCUUUCAGCCAUUCAGAACACCUGGGGUAGGAGGUACAUGCAGGCUUUCAGCCAUUCAGAACACCUGGGGUGGGAGGUACAUGCAGGCUUUCAGCCAUUCUAAACACCUGGCGUAGGAGGUACAUGCAGGCUUUCAGCCAUUCAAAACACCUGGGGUGGGAGGUACAUGCAGGCUUUCAGCCAUUCAAAACACCUGGGGUGGGAGGUACAUGCAGGCUUUCAGCCAUUCUAAACACCUGGCGUAGGAGGUACAUGCAGGCUUUCAGCCAUUCUAAA